rnacentral:misc_RNA from 1 species
GAUGAAGAACGCAGCGAAAUGCGAUAAGUAGUGUGAAUUGGAGAAUUCAGUGAAUCAUCGAAUCUUUGAACGCACAUUGCGCCUUCUAGUAUUCUGGGAGGCAUGCCUGUUUGAGCGUCAUUAAACCUCUCUCAAGUAUGAUUACUUGGAUGUGAAGGAAGAGUACCUUAAACUUAAGGAGUGUUCUCCUUUGAAAUUGAUUAGCAGAUGGCAAUGUUAUUAAAUCCCUGAUGUUGUAAGAAAUAACAGUGGUUUUGUAGACUAUUAUCUAGCUUUAAAUUAUAAUUUUUAUUAUGGUUGACCUCAAAUCAGGUAAGGAUACCCGCUGAACUUAAGCAUAUCAAUAAGCGGAGGA